ACCUUUAUUGUUCAUUCAUUCUCCAUGCUUUUGUUGAAGAUUUCAUAAUCCUCUCUCUGUUCCCCCAAAUAUCACACUGGUCCUCUAUAUUGAUGAUGACGUUAUGAUGAGUGGAAAAAGUGAGCACAAGGUAGAACCCACACUGUUUGGGAAAGUAAAUGCAAAUCACAAGGUGGGAAAGGACUACAGACAACAGUUUUUUAAAAAGUAGUGCUGUUUUUUUUUUUUUUUUUUUUUAAAGAAAGGUUUCUUUGUUAUUGGAAAUUAGUAGAAGAGAGAACUGUAUUUUGAUACUAGGAGAAAAAUAGGGAAAGCAAAAUGAUUGUUCCAUUAAAGUGGUAGUAACUUUGUGAGGAUAGUAUUUUACUUUUUAAAAUAACCAGAAAAUUCUUCUAGAAGUCCAUAACUAAGUUUAUUAAUUUAUUUCCUGUAAAGCUCUGUGCUUUAUUCAUAAGGAAAAGUUGGAAACAAGUAAGUCUUAGUCUCAAAAGUCUUGCAGAGUUUAGAGAUACUACAUCACCACUUAUACUAUUAUGUAAUUGCAAUUUUGAGAUAUUUGCAGUGUGUAAGGAGAAGGCAUAGCACAGGCUUUAACUAGUCUGGGAUGUUAGGGAAAAACUAGUUAACAAUAAUUAACACUUGCUGACUUCUAAAAGAAUGCUAGGAAUAACUAGAUAAAACAGCAGAAGAGCCUUCUAUAGCCACAUACAGGUUCCUAGACAGGAAGGAAGUCAGAAUAGUCACAGAUUCCAUUAUAUUUAGUUUCUGUUUGAAGACUUCUUUUUCGUAUUUUAUAUCAUGUAUAUAUAACUUUUAUUCAGCUGAAAAAAACAUGCAUAUGAGCUUUGUGUUUAAGAUUCUUUUUUAUAUGAAUGUAAUUAUAUGUAUAUUUUUCUAUAUAUAAAUAUGUAAGCUGCUAUGUUCUCUGGUAGUAACUUAUAUAUGCCCACAUUUAUUAAAUUUUGAACCUCCUUUACUACAGGAAGACAGGCUAUCUCUAGGCUGGGCAAUUGAAUUAUGGCUUUUAAAGGGAUUUUUACAGAAAAUAAAAAUGAAUUCUGUUUUUAUUAACCUGAAUAUUUUUCAAAUGUUUUGGAAAUUUAGAGUCAUGUAAAAAAAUUUUAAAUCAGCAACCACAAUAUGUCUGGCUUUCCCUGGGUUUAUCCUCUUUGUAAGCUGUAUUUU
rnacentral:lncRNA from 1 species